GCUUUCCAUCACUGUGACUACCUUGGAGAAGGUCUUUGAGGGACCUGCUGCUCCUCAUACUCAUGUGUAUUAGACUUCUGAGUACCUUACAUACACAGCCCAAGGUUUGCUGAGUCUUUGAGCAACAAUAACUACUACUGUUUGGUUUUAAAAUGCAAUUAGUAAUCUCUCCAGAGCAUACUGUUCAAUCUAUAAUUUUCUGGCUGCUGUGACUACUAUUUUAAGACUUCAAAGACACCUAACAAGCAAAACUUCAACUUCCUGGUAUCCUGAUAGAAACUCAUUCAAUCAGCCAGCUGAACAACAGCUGAACAGAAUCCAGCUGGACAAUUUUCACUUGGAAAGUAAUCUGAAAUCCUACCAGCAUGUCACAAGAAUUGUAGCAUCACAUGCAGCAAGAUGAUUUAUUUUUUCAUUAUGGUAGAUGUUUAAAAA